ensembl:lncRNA
CUCCCCGCCGCCAUCUCGUGCGCGGGGCGCGCGGCCGCGCGAAUCGCGGCUCCUGUGAGGUGAGGGUGGUCCUUUCGGAAAGGCGUUCGAGGCCGCGGGGCCGUGACGUGCAAGGCGGACACCCGCACUUCCUUACAGUGGGCGAGUCCAGCACGACGCUCCGCCUCACCUUCCUCCCGGGUCGUAAAAGCACAGACACACAGAGUCGGGUGCUAUCUGCUUGCUGACAAUCACUUCUGGCAGCCCCGUUCUACUGAUGCUGUAAUAGGAUUAGCGUUGUAGCUGCCACUGCCCCCAGGAGGAGUCUUGAGGCGUGGAGUCAACCGCCUUGCCAUAGACAACCUCCUGGGUGGACCUCCCACAGCAUCUGCA